UUUUAAUUUUUUUAAUAUAUAUAUUAAAACGAAAUAAUAAAACAAGCAACACUAUAUUAGAAUUUAAGCGUACAUUACAAUUAGAAAAACUAAUUAAAUAAAUGAAAUCUCGAUGUUAAACCCGAAAACCUAAUCUAAAAAAUAAAAUAUAUAUAUCAUAUCUCUCCUUAUUAUAAAAGAAUUAUUAAAUAAUGUAAAAAUUAUGAUCCAACUUUCAAACAUCACAUCAAAAAAUAUAAAAAUACACCUUCCAAAUCUGUUGGAGGAAUAAUUUUCUAAAAUUUCCCAAAAAAAAUAACUAAAAGUUUCCUAAAGAUUAGGAGAGUGCACGACCUGCAAGGCACUCCUCUCUGCUCCGUGAAAAAAAAUAAAACCACCUGCUUCUCACAUCACAAUCACAAUCACAAUCUUCUCUGCUUCUCACAAUUCAGUUCUAACGCAAUCCAUCCCACCAAUUUCCUCCCCAAAACCUCUGGUAAUCUUUCCGGUCUCACCGCGCGUCUCUUAAGAUCAGUCAUUGAGCAAGGGGAAUCCAUCAUCGCCCAAUCCAUCAUCACCCCAAUUCGCAAGGAAAUCAUCGUCUGGUUCAUCAUUGCCCAAACACAGCAUUGAAAUUUGAUGUUCUGGUUUGUUGUUUCAGAUUCACGCAAGAACAUGAGCUAUCUAAGUACAUCAUGUGUACAUAUUUGGAUAAGAUUUUUGCACAACCAUUGCAAGAUGAACAAAACUCAGGGUGAGAUCGGGUUUUUUUGUCCGAAAAAGCUUUCUAUGGUAAUACGUCGAUCUGCGACGGUUACAAGCUAUUUGACUCAUUCAAUAUCCAAGCAAAGUAAGAAGCAAUUUAUACUCAUCCCCUUCCAUCAAAAAUCUCAUUGGAUGUUGAUACUACUUUGCCUUCAAAGAGGAGAAGCUUUCUUGUUCGCUUCAGCAGGAGUUGGAUUAGAUAGCGUGCAAGUAAAAGGACAUAUAUCUAUGUAAGUUUUA